GACGAACGCUAGCGGCGUGCUUAACACAUGCAAGUCGAACGGAAAGGCCCUGCUUUUGUGGGGUGCUCGAGUGGCGAACGGGUGAGUAACACGGGAGUAACCUGCCCUUGACUUUGGGAUAACUUCAGGAAACUGGGGCUAAUACCGGAGAGGAGAGCCUGCUGCAUGGGGGGGGUUGGAAAGUUUCGGCGGUGGGGGGUGGAGUCGGGGCUUAUCAGCUGGUUGGGGGGGGGGUUGCUUACGAAGGGUUUGACGGGUAGUCGGCCUGGGAGGGUGACCGGCCACCUUGGGCCUGCGAUACGGCCCAGACUCCUACGUGAGGCAGCAGUCGGGAAUCUUGCCCAAUCGGCCCGCGCCUGUUGCAGCAACGCCGCGUUCGUGAUGCCGGCCUUCGUGUUGUAAACCGCUUUCGCCUGUGACCAAGCGUGAGUGACGGUAAUGGGUAAAGAAGCACCGGCUAACUACGUG
rnacentral:rRNA from 1 species